UAGGGGGAUCCUCUGCUGUAGUUUCAAUAGUCUCACCCGCUGCUCCAGUUCAGGCCCUGUGUCACUUGCCUUUCUCCUCUGUAUCUUACACCUCUUCUGCUGGGGAGAGGAGGGGAGGGUGGGCUUGUCUCCAUCUCCUGCAUCUGCAGCUUCCUGCUGAAGCAGCAGAGGGAAGACAUGGGGGAAGGCAUGGUAAGACAGAAACACAUGGAUCUGGCCCAAACAUAUCAGUGGCCACACUUGCAUACAACACAGUGGAGAUGUAUAAUCCUACACGGGGGACAGUAACAGCCUGAGUUUCUGUUUUAAUGUUUUGCUUCCCAUUUUCUACUAGUGCAUUUUACCCUGGUGGUUCUGCUGUUGUAGUGGGUUUUCUUAAGUUAGUAUUCUUAAUUCCUUAUUCUUGCUCUAACCAUUUUGAAGAUUUAACCAGCUUUGAUCAUUGGGGACCUGUUAAGAAUUCAUAAAGGUCAGAAAAGUAUUAUUUGAAAAGAAAAUCUAUUUUGUGAAAAACAUAAACCAGUUACCAUCUAGAAUUAGCUCAGGUUUGACUUUGACCUUGUCUUUUCCACUGGGUGGACCCUGAGGUAUUUGCUGCCCUUCCUGCUGAACUUCAAAGGGAGCUGAAAGCAGCAUAUGAUCAAAGACAAAGGCAGAGCGAGAACAGCACUCACCAGCAGCCAGCACAUCUGGUUGAUGCAGCAAUCGGUGGAAUCAGUUUGGAAUAUGACAUUUGACUUUAUUCUUGACAAUGUUCAGGCUCCUUUUUGUGAAUCCUUAAAAACUCAACUCUAGGAAGCAACUACUGUUUAUUAUCCUAAAAGGCUGAAAAACCUCCAGGUCAGACUGCUAAGCUCUGAAAUUCCUGAGAGGUCUCAGACCGGGAUUCUACUUGUUCCAAGAAAGGGUAAAGCUUCUAAACCAUCUUAUUCUUGUCUCCAAGCACGAACACAGGAGCAUGUUAAGAAAAUCUUUACUUCUUCCAUGCGGAGAAAUCUACAUAUUUUGAAUUAGAAACACC
rnacentral:lncRNA from 13 species